rnacentral:rRNA from 1 species
GACGAACGCUGGCGGCGUGCUUAACACAUGCAAGUCGAACGAAGUGGCGAACGGGUGAGUAACGCGUAAUCAACCUGCCCUUCAGAGGGGGACAACAGUUGGAAACGACUGCUAAUACCGCAUACUGAAGGAGGGGAUUGGGUUGGAUUAGCUAGUUGGAGGGGUAACGGCCCACCAAGGCGAGGGUCAGUAGCCUGUCUGAGAGGAUUAACGGCCACAAUGGGAAUGGGACACGGCCCAAACGCCCUCGGGAGGCAGCAGUGGGGAAUCUUCCGCAAUGGACGGAAGUCUGACGGAGCAACUCCGCGUGGGUGAUGACGGCCUUCGGGUUGUAAAGCUCUGUUAAUCGGGACGCGGUACCGGAAUAGAAAGCCACGGCUAACUACGUGCCAGCAGCCGCGGUAAUAC